AAUGGUGGAGGAAGAACACUCAAAAGUAGAAAGAAAGGAUCUAUGUGCUAGAGAGAGAGGAUGAUAAGACAAAACGUUGAAUGGGAUGAGAAGUACACUACCUUUGCGCUUUUCUAAUUGCAAAUGACAAACCCAAGGAAGAGUUUAAAUAUUGAUCAUUAUAAAUAGGCAACUAGUAGGAACACUAUCAAUAUCUAUCAUUAAAGGAGCAUGCCGCGUGAUGUCCUGAGGGAGAAUUAGAAUACGAACAUUCUUUCAUUCAUAUACCUUAAAGUUUGAUUUAGUGGAAUCAGAAACAACCUUAGUCUAACCAUUUCAGGUUUUAGAAGGGACAAACACUAUCUGAUCAGACUCAAGGACAGGAACUGAAAGAAUCUUAGACUUGUGUAGUUGUGCUCCCUUUGUUCAACAAAAAGUAUGAAGCUUUUAAAAAAAAUUAUAAUAUCCACAGAGAGAGAACACUUUUUAGUAACCAGAUCAAAACACUUAUACCCUUUUUGUGAAGACGAAUAUCCCAAGAAAAUACAUUUGAUAGUCGAUUUGACAAUUUAUUUAUAUAAACAUUAGUGUUAUAGACAUAACAAAUACAUCCAAAGACUCACGAUGGAAUUUUUGAGAUAGGAUAAGUGUUAUAGACACAGUUGUUAUGCCCUGUAACGGCCGUUAUGGCCCCUGUAACAGCCGAUGCAGUCCCAAAAAACUAACUACCCCGCUUCACCUCCGUAUCGCAUAACGGUCACGACUGUUACCUAUAUGCAUCGGCCUUUAUGACCGUAUCGUAGCAGAUACAAAACACCUUGACUGUAAGACUAUAUUAGAGGGAUGACUAAAUCGACAAUGCCAAAUAUAAAGGCCUUCCUUCUUGACACAUAAACACUUACUAAUUUGAUUUGGAUGACCAAAUCGACAGUGCCAAAUAUAAAGGUCUUGCUUCUUGACACUUAGACACGUACUCAUUUGAUUUGAAGUAUUCGAAUGAAGAAUGUAUAUUCCAUCCUUCUCAUAUCCACCUCCAAGCAACUUCUUCGUCUUCAGAUUACCAAAAAACACGAUGAUCAGGAUAAAAGGUUACACUAUAAUUUAGGUCCGUGGUAAUUUGACUAACAUAUAACAAAUUAGACGCAAUAUUAGGCCCAAUAAAACAGAGGACAAGGAGAAUGGUGGAUAAACCAAAACAAUACCCUUUUCCCUCAUAGGUGUUAGGGGUACCAUAUGCUAAUUUCAAGCGACCUAAAUUUGGAUGAGUAUAUGCAAAAAAAGAAAAAGAUGCGCAUGUAAUAUGAUCAAUAGCUCCUAAAUGAAUUACCUAAGGACUUGAUGUAGAAAUAGUGUGAAGAGUAGUGAUAGUAUUACCCGUCUGAGCCAAGAAAGUAACGAGGAGACCUUAUUUUGAGUGGCAUUCCUUAACAAGGCAUGAUACUCGUUUUUUGAGAGAUGGACCACAUUAACAACUGAUUGAACCACGGGUAAAGUUGCAUAAGGUAUCAUGUCCCCAACAAUAGUUUGAGAAUCCCUACCAUUUGAAGUUGUAGAAUUGGUUGCUCAGCCUUGAGGUCAACCAUGAAGGGCCCAUCAAUAAUCAACAAUAUGUACAUGCCUACCACAAUGAGUACACAAUCAAUCCAUCCCAUGACCAUGAUCGAGACCACGUUAUAACCUCGACCACCAUCAUGACCUCCUCUUCUUGUGCCUCUACCAAGACCAACACUAGCAUGAUCAAAAUUUCUGAAUCUUGUCACUAGAGUAGAUUUUCAACCAUAGUUGAUCCCAUAGCAGUCAGAUGCUUCUUAUCAUGCAACAGUAAGGCAUAUACACUAUUCAGUGACGAUAAAGAGCGUGAGCAAAGAAUUUGAGCGUAAACUAAUGUUUUCUGUAUCGUUAUCAUGUAAUGUAUCACAACCAUGGGAUAUAGAUGCAUAUUGCUGAUUUCAUGGGAUAUAUCGUUGUAUCGCGUAAUGUAUCAUUGUUGUUGGAAAACAUUGGGAAAUUGGUCGAAUUUUUCAAUGAAACUUCAAAAAUUGUUAAAAAAGACAUCAACACAUACUUCUAAAUCAUAACACAAAAACAAGUGUACAUAAUAGGUUUCCUUUGUAUAGGUUCCUAAUCUAUGCGCUAUCUGACUGAAUUGAUGCAAGUAUAUUCAAAGUCAAUUCAGAUAAUUAAAAAAAAUGUAAGAAGGCAUGUAUGGUAGCACAAGCAAUACAUUUAAAAGAAAAGGAAGUAGAAAUUUAGAAAUAUACACGUGAAUGAUGUGUGUGGCUAUGGUGGCUCAAAAUCAUAAUAUGCCUUCUUCUCUGACCUAAUCCACAAAUCGACAAUAUUGUGCUCAAAGUCAUAGUAGAAUGGUACCAAUGAAGGUACUCUUUGACAUAAUGCCAGUACUUGUCUUCUCCAAUCUAAACCAGUAUGCCCAUUCGUGGGUACCACGGGUUCAAACUCAGGAUUAAGACCCACCAAUAAUUCAAAACCCCCCUUUUUCCAAUACUUCUUUGAUAUGCCUUUGCAUCAAUGGAACAUACAAAUUAAAGAUCGCCCAGGAAAGACAAUUCUUGCCACAAACCAUGUAUCUUUGCAUAAUGAUCGGACACUGAUCUCUCUCCCUUCUUAAAUCACUAAUCUCUUGAUAAAUAUUAUAAAUGCAAGCCAUAUUGUUUUGAUCAACAUAUGAUUCAAAAGUAAACCAAAUCUUACAUGCAGUGGAUAGCAAAAGAAGACCUUCACCAACAUCUGGUUCCAUAGAAUUUAAGAGCUAUGACAAUACGAGCAAAAUGUUUGAUUUCCAUUUGCUAUAUGAGCAAUCGGUCCUGGGUGGUUCUGACAUACCGCCAUCUAUAUAUCCUAACUUUUGUUUUCCUCCAAUAAACAUCUCAACAGCUUUUGACCAUUGAAGAUAAUUGCUAGACUUAAGUUCAUGUGUUGUAAUAUGUAACCAAGAUUCAUUGAAUGAAUAACUAACAUCUCCAUUUUAGAGUUGAUAGGGAUCAUCAGUUUCAGAUUAUGGAAGAUGCAACCAUCAUAAAUCUCAAACAAAUAGAAGAAUAAUAACUAUUAAGGCUUUACACCAACCAAUACCAAGUUACUACUAGAGCUAGAAGUAUGACAAGCAAAGCUCUCAAAAACAAUUCCAAAAGAGCUCCAAGCCAGCCCACAAAAACUAGAGAAAUGGAUCUUACGACAAACAGAGCUUGAUAGUCUCUAAAAAUCUUGACAAUCUUCAAGCAAAAAAAAAAAACUUAAUUACGUGACUGUUGCCCUCAAACAGAUUGUUGAAAUAUUAGGGUGAUAAGAACCCAAAAGCUCUGCCCUAAGAGGAAAUUCGGCAAACCCUAGCAGAUGUAAACCAGUUUCUGAGAAAAACAGGAAGAAACCUUUGAAGACAAUCUGUCCAAACCUGUAUGUCCAACAAACCCUAUUUGCCGUAAUCAGUUUUUUGAGAAAACUGGUAGAAAAAUGCUUCGAAAAUGUGAUUUAAAAACCCUAAAAAGUAGCAACUAAAAUAAUCAGUAACCCAUCACAAAAUCUGAAGUAUCCGCAAGAUCUCUCCUCAAAAUAUCAAAUCACAUUACCAAAUAGGCAACAACAAUUCUCAAACCGAAUGAGAGAGGGGGCACUUAAAGAAAGAAAAUAGGGCAAAAGAGAGGCGCACUCUACCAAAUAGGACUUUGCUUUGACUUGACUUGCCAAGCUGGUUAUAUUAUUGAAGCAUCUCUCAUUCCUUCUUGCAAACUGUCUAAAGGAUAGCUGAUGAGGACAUCACUUCACAUACGCCUUUGCGCACGUAUCAGAGGAGGCGGGCCGCCGAUUUCUCUGUGGCUAAGCGAGAACCCAUGAUCAAUUUGAAGACCCCAUGUGCAUGUGUGAGCAUCUGAAAGAUCCCACACUGGAAAGAUGCACAUGGGUUGCUUUAGGGAGUAGGUUGGACCGUCGGAUUCGAGGGACGUGAUGAUCGGGCUCUUGGAUCGCAUGGAUCACAUGAUUGGGCCAUUGAUCAUGAAUCGUCUUCAUCCAUUUUUAGAUUCUAUUAUCUUUUAGGAUUUAGUCUAUGAUUAUUUUAUGUUUGGACACAUUAUGAGUGACUUAGUUGAUUUUUCUUUAGACUAGGGUCAUUUUUAUCAAAUUUCAUAAGACAUUGUUGAAUUUGUAAUUUUUGAAAUUUAUCAAAGCUAUAAAAGAGGGGUAGGCGUGUGACCUCUCUUCACUUGGUUUUUUUGAGGAAAAAAAAAGAGAGAGAGAGGAAAAGCUUAUUGCUUCCUUCUCCCAUCUUCACGUGAUUUUGAAGGUGACUUCCAUGUGAUUUGAAAGGAAUAUUGGUGCGAAGCUAAUCUUCAUCAACGGAGGUGCGAGGUUUCCGUCUAUCACCCACAUUCUCAUUCCUUCAUCAACCAUUAUGGUAUUCUUCAAGUUCUUUGAUCUUCUUCAUCCUAAGCCAUUACCAUCCUUCCAACCCUCAUCCCUUAUACACCUAUCGAUGAGCCAAAUCCUAGGAACCAAAACCUUGCAACUUAGCCCACACGUGUGACCGUAUGACCACACGUGUGAACCCAUAGGGUUUUCCGUACGGCUACACUCUUGUCCCUUUGGCUUUCCACUACCCUUGCAUCAAAACCCUACUCUCUCUUUUCAAAACCCUAACCCUAAACCUAUAAAUCUCAAAUCUUCCUAUUUCCCCAAAUUACCAAACCCUAGUUCUUCACACUCUUCAAGUACGCCCAAAUCUUUACCUUUCCUCCAUCAAAAACCCCCAUUCCCUUAUUCUAGAACCUGAACCCUUUAACCCCUUUACCCAAUUUGUCCCAUUAACCUUAAUUCCAAGUUUUUCCCAAUUUUCCUAAACCGUAAUUUCACUCUAGAUAGUAUUAGACCUUCCCCUUUGAAAUAGGCUUUACCCUAUGCUAUUUGGAUGCCCCUAAAUCUAUUAGAUCAUAGUUUCCCUUAUUUAAUGGUAUUGUAAGAUGAUGCUUGGUAACUUAGGCUAGAAUUAUGCAUGAUCUUCUCUUGUGAUUUUUAGUAUUUGUGAUAAUGAUAGCAAGUUUUGUGCUUUUUAUUAAUUACUUUAAUUUUUCUUAUUGAUCUCACACACAAUAUUUGAGUUCAUGCAUCGGUCCUACAUCAAUAGCCAUCAUCACCAACCUCUAACCUUCUUUUUCUUCUUGAGAUACACCCCAUGCCUUGCCAAGAGCAAACUCACCAUUGUGUUUGGCUUUACCCAAAACAACACUAUGACAAUUGAGAAGGCUGAUCCACAUUGUUUGCAUGAAGGGACAAUGGAUAAACAAAUGGUUCACUGAUCUAGCAUUUCCCAUACACACAAUACAGAUUUGGGAUGACCAUUGCCCUUUUUCGAAGAUUAUCAAUGGUUAAAACCUUGUUCCUCUUAAUGAGCCAAGCAAAUGUUGAAACCUUAAGAGGGGCCCCAUACUGCCAUAACAAUGCUGUCAGGGUGGUAUCUUCUACCCGUGGUGGCUCUCGAAGUGCCUUGUAGAACGAUUGAAACAUGAAUUGGCCUUCUACCAAACCAUGGUGUCCCUCUCCCCCGUAGAUGUAGAGAAGAGAUGGAUCAUGCCUAAGUUCCACUAGGUCUUCAAAUUCUUUGUCAAUUAACUCUCUUCGUCAAGGAGGUGACCACAUCACCGUGUUUCCACUAACCGAUGAGCAUCUAGAUACAGGAAUGUCGUUGUCCACCGCCAAUCGUGGCAAUGUCGGGAAUACAAUGAUGAAGAGGUAUCUCUCCUUCCAUUUUUCCAAAUUUUGAUAGUUUCCGAUUUACAAGAGAGGACCCAACCCCCUUCUUGAAUUUAGUUUUUAUGCUCGAAAUACCUUUCCAAAGCCUUAAUGCUCUAUAUAGCGAGGAGUCCUUCAUUCAUCAUCCCCCAAUGUCUCAAUCAUAUUUAGCCGCUACAGUCUCUCUCGAGUAUAAGUUUUCCUUAGUCCCAAAUGUCCACCACCACUUUCCCAAAAGCGCCAAAUUCACUGCUUCUAGGUCCCUUAUAUUUGCGCCCACAGCAACCCCCCCCGGGUACAAACUUCCUCCCAUCCCAAUAAGUGAAACUUUUUCUUCCCUUCUGAACCUUAUCAGAAAAGGUUCCUUCUAAUUCUCUCCAAUUUUGUUAGCAUUGGCUUCGGGCAUUUAAACAACGAAAAUCGAGAGGCAUGUUUGAGAGGGCUACUUUGAUAAACGUUAUUCGGCUUCCCAUCAAUAGGUACAUGCUCUUCCAGCUUUAUAGUUUCCUUUUGAGCCUCUCUACGACCUUGUCCCACAAUUGCUUAGCGAGCUUUCCAACAUGAGGAGAACUCAAAUAGGAGGAAGGGAAGCCCUCGCCCUACAACUAAGAACUGCCACCAACUGCUCCACUUUCACCAUCAGCACCUUGAUCCCUAAUAUUUCGCUCCUUGCAAUAUUCACCCUCACUCUUGAGAUAACUUCGGAACAUCUAAUCACCAUUCUUACCCUGUCCAUCAUCCCAGGGUCUGCUUCAAAGAAAGUAAUAGUGUUGUCUGCAAAUUGGAGAUGAGAAAUUGGAGGACUACUACUAUCAACGUUGGACCCAUGAAUCAGGCCCAUCUCCUGCCCUUUUCCCAACAUUCUGCUCAAAGCUUCUGCCACUACUACGAACAGUAGCGGAGAGGGGGAUCUCCUUGCCAAAUGCCUCUCAAGCUUUUGAAGAAUCCUUUGGGGGACCUGUUGAUGAGGACUGAGAAUCUACCUGACCGGAUGCACUCUUUCAUACCCCACCUCCACUUUUCGUCACAUCCAAGCCUCCUUAACAUGUGGUUCAGGAAGCCCCAAUCAAUGUGGUCAUAAGUCUUUUCGAUGUCCAGUUUGCACGCUAGCUCUUUUGUCCUUAUGACAAGAGUUGAUGAAUUUGUGUGCAAUGAGAGCACAAUCAAGGAUUUGUCUUCCUGCUACAAAUGCACAUUGAUUCUUGGAUAUAGUACUUCCCAUCACCGCCCUGAAUCUGGAUGACCUAUAGUGAGAAAAGACUUGACCUAUGGGUCAACUAAGGAUAUGGUCCCUUGAGAGAGUGGAAUGGCGGAACAGGAUUCGUGUAGCCAACCCCAAUUUUUUGGGAUAAAGCUUAGAUGAGGAUGAUGGUGGUGGUUUUAUUUAAAUUGACAUUCUUUGUAUCUAAAAGUGGCAUGCAUUCAGCUGCCACUUUUAGAUGGCUGCAAACUUUUAGUGCGAAGUACUUCUUUAGAAUGUUAGACUGCUGCAUGGAUUAUUUUUUUUAUUUUUUAUUUUCCAUUUUCCAUUUCUUGUAAAUUAACAAGAAUGCAACAGAUUUCUCUCCACUGACUAUUGAUUCAAAUGUAUAUACCCUUAUUUUGGAGCAUUGAAAGUUUGAAAAUGCUAAAAGUUUCGAGGCAACAUGUUCCUUCACGGUUAAGUAUUGUCUUCUUCUAUCUGUCAGCCUAUCAGUCUCUUGUUCAACCCUGUCCUUUUGAGAAGCUUUUGCCAAGGCAAAUUCCUCGAUGAUGGUUGGCCUUAAAUGUGUUUUUGGCAUUAAGAAAGAAUGGGAAGGAGUUGGAUUUGCAGAGGAACUGGUGGAAUUGAAAUUUGAGUCCGAUGGAUGUUGUAAAGUUUAUUCAUAUGAAUGGUGGGUGGGUGGCACGGAUAUAGGAUUGGAUGGAAAAAAUUUCAAGUGUUUUGCUUUCAAUGAUGUCACCAAGACCAUCAUUUUGUGUUCCACAUGGGUCCCUUAUUGGCCAUAUAUUUAUGGCUUGGAAUGAUUUUCAUUACUUUCAAUGCUUUGACUUGAUUAAUUGCACAAGGAAAGAUUUGUUUGGAAAUAUUUAGGAUAUGGUUAUCUUCUGCUCCUAGACUCAUUUUUCAACUUGUGAAAAUCCUGCUAUUCUUGAAAUAUUGGGAACAUCGUUGUGUUUUUCACUUCCAGCAAAUUAUAUGUCAAAUUACGCUGCAAAUCUUGGCUCUGAUUGCUUUCAAUGUUGCCACUAAGAUCAAUACUUUCUGUUUCGCAUGGGCGUCAUGGGGAGCAUAUUUGUGACUUGGAAAGAAUCACACUAUGUUUUAUUUUUCCACAGGACGACGCACAAAGAAAGCAUUGGUGCCAACGUUGAACUUGCUCAUCAUUAUGAAGCAGCGACAACCACAAACAUUAUGGGGAAGAUGGCCUAAAUCAAAUGUGGAGGAAGGAUCUUUUGUAGCUUUAGGCCAAGUGUUUUUUCUUUUUUCUUUUAGAGGAUCUGUGUUGGACGGAUAGCCAUUCUCAGUAAUUAAUUCCAUUGCCUCCCAUUCUCAGUAAUUAAUUCCAUAUGGUUUAGUUUCUCUUUGACUAAGGGAGCUAGUUUUCUUUCUUCUUCUUAGUUUUAUGUCACAUUAGGAAGAAUUAUCGGAGAUGGUAUUGAAUAGAAUAAGGUGAUGGAGAAGUCUUCUUAGGAGAGGGAUGGCAUUAAAUAGGCUACUAACUAGAUAGUUACUAUGUGAAUGUGACCAAGGAAUGGAUGAGGUGAUGGCUUGUUCUACUCUUGAAGGUCUUUGCCUUUGAUGGUUGGAUUCGUUGUUUCUCAAUGAUGGCUUCUUGGCCAUGUGAUUGAUGGAUGCUCUUAGGGCCAAAUGAUUUUGGUAUCAUACCAUCAUGAAUUUUGAGGCUUUCCAUUGUUCAAUUUGUUAUUCCGAUGGAAGAUUUAUCUUGCAACAAUCUUUCUUAUGUCGGAACACUUCUUUCAAGGCACAUUUCAGUGGCCAGAACUCAAAUGAAGUGGGCAACUCUCUUCUCUGGUGAUCUACAGUCUCUGACAUCCUCUGAAAGCAAUUGUGGUAAGCUAAGGGCAUGUUCUGACGCACUGUAAAUUCCAGUUUUUCCUUUUUCCGGAUUUUCACCUAAAAGGCUUGAAUUCGGUGAAAGGCAGAGAUAAGAGAGAACGCUGCUCCCUAGUGACACUCUUUUGUGGUCUGCUUCAUUGCUACCAAUUUUCUUUUUUAUGUUAUCUUUGUCUAUUACAUGCUCGACUUCCUGAUCUCUGCUUACAAUUUGUGUUAUCAUUCUCUUUGUUGCUUUUUGAUUAACUAAGACACUGUUGAAUGACAUAUCAGUUGUCAUGUCUUUUGGUGGGCCACCCUUUGCUUGCUUGGGACUGUGUGGUCCAUGGUUUUGCGACUUCAAGUUGGGUUCCAUUUUUCA